rnacentral:lncRNA from 10 species
UUUUUAUUUUUUCUUUACGAACGCACAGACUACAAUAGUGGUUCUAGCCCCAGGUCCAGAGGUGAGGGAAGGAACUCAGUCAGACAGCUCUACCAGGAAGUUUAUCUGCAAAUAGGAAAGUUAUUUUACUGACAUUUACAGAUAUCAGAGCACAUGUGUUGACUGUACAUUCUGGGUAUGUAGAUGGUCUGGGUAGAGCUGUACACACCUUUUUGCUGAGUCCUCAUUAUUAUCUAAGAUGUAAUAUGUGGUCCUGAACAUGGUUUGGUCUGUGUCUCUAACAAGAAUCCAGAUCAUGACCUGGACCUUCUGGGCAUGAGUCUAGAGCUGUGUUGUCCAGUAAGGUAGCCACUUGCCAUACAGUCAUUUAUACUUCAUUUUAAUGCAAUGAAAACUUCAGUUUUCAAUAGCCACAUUUCAAUUGGUCCAUAGUCACAUAUGAUUAGUGGCUCAGGUAGAGAUUUCCAUCAUCACCGGAAGUUCUGCGGACUGUGCUGGAUCCCUGGGACCAGUAUUUGUGAACCAGCAGCAGGAACAUCACCUGGGAGCUUGGAAGAAAUGUGGAAUCUCAGCUGUGUCCAGACCUACUGAGAGAGAAUCUGCUUUUUACACAAUCCUGGGUAAUUUAUAUACCAUUCAAGAGUAAGAAGCACUGUUCUAGACAAUCGAGCUGUAAACCAAAAAUAAAAUUCUAAGGCC